CUACGGGUGGCUCCAGUGGGGAAUAUUGCACAAUGGGCGCAAGCCUGAUGCAGCAACGCCGCGUGAGUGAUGAAGGCCUUCGGGUCGUAAAACUCUGUCCUCAAGGAAGAAUAAAUGACGGUACUUGAGGAGGAAGCCCCGGCUAACUACGUGCCAGCAGCCGCGGUAAUACGUAGGGGGCAAGCGUUAUCCGGAAUCACUGGGCGUAAAAGGUGCGUAGGCGGUCUAACAAGCCAGGAGUGAAAGGCAGUAGCUCAACCAUUGUAAGCUUUUGGAACUGUUGGACUUGAGUGCAGGAGAGGAAAGUGGAAUUCCUAGUGUAGAGGUGAAAUUCGUAGAUAUUAGGAGGAACACCAGUGGCGAAGGCGACUUUCUGGACUGUAACUGACGCUGAGGCACGAAAGCGUGGGGAGCGAACAGGAUUAGAUACCCUGGUAGUC
rnacentral:rRNA from 1 species